GGAUUGUGGCUCAGAGGUAGAGCACUGGCCUAGCAUGGGCGAGGCACUGGGUUCGAUCCUCAGCACCA
rnacentral:tRNA from 1 species